CAUAUCGGGUACCAACAGCAACCAAACUCCGAAUACCCGUGAUGCGUAUCCCGGCAGUGAGUCGGCGGGGGAUAAGCUCCGUCGUCGAAAGGGAAACAGCCCAGAUCGUCGUCUAAGGUCCCCAAGCGUGUGCUAAGUGGGAAAGGAUGUGGAGUCGCAUAGACAGCCAGGAGGUUGGCUCAGAAGCAGCCACCCUUGAAAGAGUGCGUAACAGCUCACUGGUCUAGUGGUUCCGCGCCGACAAUGUAGCGGGGCUCAAGCACACCACCGAAGACGCGGCAGUAGCUUUGCUACUGGGUAGGAGAGCGUCCCAUGCGGGGCGAAGCGGCGGCGCAAGCCCGCCGUGGACUGCAUGGGAGUGAGAAUGCAGACAUGAGUAGCGAAAGACGGGUGAAGAUCCCGUCCGCUGGACGACCAAGGGUUCCAGGGCCACGUUCAUCGUCCCUGGGUGAGUCGGGUCCUAAGGCGAGGCCGACAGGCGUAGUCGAAUGGAUGAACGGGUCGAUAUUCCCGUACCGGCAUGCAACCGACAAAACCGAAUCCGCGAGUACUAACCUCCGGGUCCGGGCUUACGUCUCCUUCGGGAGCCGGAUGCCCUGGCCUGUUGGGACCGUAACGGUAGUAGGUCAGCGCGGGAGUGACGCAGAAGGGUAGCCGGCCGCGGAGGUGGUCUUCCGUGGUCAAGCACGCAGCCCGUCCCACAGGCAAAUCCGUGGGGCGCGUGGGCGAGGUGCGAUGAUGGGCGCCGCAGGGCGCGAUAUCCGGUGAUCCCGGCUGCCGAGAAAAGCUUCGGCGUGAGGCGGCGUGCCGCCCGUACCCCAAACCGACACUGGUGGUCAGGUAGAGAAUACCAAAGCGAUCGAGCGAAUCCUGGUCAAGGAACUCGGCAAAUCACUCCCGUUCCUUCGGUUUAAGGGAGACCCCCGAUGGUGAAGCGGCUUGCCCGUGGAGCUUUUGGGGGUGGCACAGACCAGGGGGUAGCGACUGUUUACCAAAAACACAGGAGCGUGCGAAGGCGCAAGCCGCUGUAUACGCUCUGACGCCUGCCCGGUGCCGGAAGGUUAAGAGGAUCCGUCAGGCUUCGGCCGAAGCGGUGAAUUCAAGCCCCGGUAAACGGCGGUGGUAACUAUAACCAUCCUAAGGUAGCGAAAUUCCUUGUCGGGUAAGUUCCGACCUGCACGAAUGGCGUAACGACUUCCCCACUGUCUCGACCAGGAGCUCGGCGAAAUUGCAGUACGAGUAAAGAUGCUCGUUAAGCGCAGAAGGACGAAAAGACCCCGGGACCUUUACUAUACCUUGGUAUUGGCAUUCGGUGUGGAUUGUGUAGCAUAGGCGGAAGGCUUCGAAGCCACGGCGCCAGCCGCGGUGGAGCCGCAAGGUGAAAUACCGCUCUGUUCGCAUUGGAUGUCUAACCUCGACCAGUCAUCCUGGUCAGGGACAGUGCCUGGCGGGUAGUUUAACUGGGGCGGUUGCCUCCCAAAGAGUAACGGAGGCGCUCAAAGGUUCCCUCAGCCCGGUUGGCAAUCGGGUGGCGAGUGUAAGUGCACAAGGGAGCUUGACUGCGAGACUGACGGGUCGAGCAGGGACGAAAGUCGGAACUAGUGAUCCGGUGCCGGUGUACGGACGCGGCAUCGCUCAACGGAUAAAAGGUACCCCGGGGAUAACAGGCUGAUCAUUCCCAAGAGUCCAUAUCGACGGGAUGGUUUGGCACCUCGAUGUCGGCUCGUCGCAUCCUGGGGCUGGAGCAGGUCCCAAGGGUUCGGCUGUUCGCCGAUUAAAGCGGCACGCGAGCUGGGUUCAGAACGUCGUGAGACAGUUUGGUCUCUAUCCUCUGCGCUCGUUGGAAUCCUGAGGAGGCCUGCCCAUAGUACGAGAGGACCUGGGUGG
rnacentral:rRNA from 1 species